GAAAGCGAAGGACACACAGCAGCCUGGGAAAGGAAACAGACGUCCAGAGCAAAAUUCCCACUUUAAUGAUCAUCAAGAGUUUCAGCCACUGCAAGCUCUUUGUCUCGGUCUCUCUCUCUUCAUGAGUGCGGAUCACUAAAUACUUCAAUUUAUCCUUCAGCAGAAGCAGGUGAUGUAAUCUGAGGGGCUCUAAAAGAUUCUUUAAGGAUGAAGAGAAGCUUGGCCUUGAUGGUUUCUGCUGGUUUCUUCCUGUGUUUAGCAUUUACAGGGUGUGUGGAUGCGGGAUGGGCCUGGGCAGUGCCAGCCAAGUGCAGAAGACAGCAGUGUGAUAAAAUCAACUUUGAUGCUGUCGUUCAGGAUUUUUGUGUUCUGCCGUUUAAACAGAAUAUGGAAACCAGUGACUACCAGUUCAACUGUCCCUGGCCAGCCAC